rnacentral:misc_RNA from 1 species
UCAGUGCCAACAAAAGAAUUUGAAGCUCUGAUGGGUUCAGCCAUAAAUACUGGAGGUUGCUGCUGACGUUUAUGGCGCUUUUUCUUUUCAUUUAUACUUGGAAUCAAAAGCUGUGGUUUGCAUGAUGUCAAACAUGAUAGAUCAAAAUCUGUUAAGGACACAUGUCCAUUACUCUGAAGUAAAACGUUUUCAGGCUUUAAAUCCCUGUAUAUUAUCCCUUGACAGUGAAGGUACUCCAAAUGCAACAACUACCUCUGCAGCAUAAAAUCUCACAGCAUCCUCCUUCAGUACUUUUGUUGGUUGUCUGUCCAGAAGCAUGAAGAGCUCUCCACCAGGGAAGUAAUCAGUUAUCAGACAAUAUGUGUUUUG